AGAGUUUGAUCCUGGCUCAGGACGAACGCUGGCGGCGCGCCUAACACAUGCAAGUCGAACGAGCGAGAGAGAGCUUGCUUUCUCGAGCGAGUGGCGAACGGGUGAGUAACGCGUGAGGAACCUGCCUCAAAGAGGGGGACAACAGUUGGAAACGACUGCUAAUACCGCAUAAGCCCACGGCUCGGCAUCGAGCAGAGGGAAAAGGAGCAAUCCGCUUUGAGAUGGCCUCGCGUCCGAUUAGCUAGUUGGUGAGGUAACGGCCCACCAAGGCGACGAUCGGUAGCCGGACUGAGAGGUUGAACGGCCACAUUGGGACUGAGACACGGCCCAGACUCCUACGGGAGGCAGCAGUGGGGAAUAUUGCACAAUGGGGGAAACCCUGAUGCAGCGACGCCGCGUGGAGGAAGAAGGUCUUCGGAUUGUAAACUCCUGUUGUUGAGGAAGAUAAUGACGGUACUCAACAAGGAAGUGACGGCUAACUACGUGCCAGCAGCCGCGGUAAAACGUAGGUCACAAGCGUUGUCCGGAAUUACUGGGUGUAAAGGGAGCGCAGGCGGGAAGACAAGUUGGAAGUGAAAUCCAUGGGCUCAACCCAUGAACUGCUUUCAAAACUGUUUUUCUUGAGUAGUGCAGAGGUAGGCGGAAUUCCCGGUGUAGCGGUGGAAUGCGUAGAUAUCGGGAGGAACACCAGUGGCGAAGGCGGCCUACUGGGCACCAACUGACGCUGAGGCUCGAAAGUGUGGGUAGCAAACAGGAUUAGAUACCCUGGUAGUCCACACUGUAAACGAUGAUUACUAGGUGUUGGAGGAUUGACCCCUUCAGUGCCGCAGUUAACACAAUAAGUAAUCCACCUGGGGAGUACGACCGCAAGGUUGAAACUCAAAGGAAUUGACGGGGGCCCGCAC
rnacentral:rRNA from 1 species